GGGAGUUGUCCAUCAUUCUCUUUUAUGAGAACAUGCUAAUAACAAAGCAUAUGGACAAGUUGAUGAAACAAAAAGGGAAUAAGUUUCAAAAUGAGUUUAAACAACUAGACAAUCCAAAUUCAACAUCUCAUGUAACGAUAUUGCUCUAUGUAGUUUUGAUAGAGAAUUAUAUUAACCACCUAGAAGGAAUGGUUGAGUAUCUAUAUCCUUAGUAGGAGCCAUGCUUCCACUAAGGAAUUGGAUAAUUCUUAUAUGACUACAUUAAAGGUCUUAGUAUGACUAAAACUUGAAGUAUGGUGUAUGACAUCGUAUAAUUAAAUGAAUAGACUUGAUAAAACAAGUCACAUAUUCAAAAGGAAUUACUUUAGAAGGAAUUCUUUUGUAUGUGAUUCGUUUAAAUAACUUGUGUUAGCUAGGGUUGUUGAUGGUCUCAAAAUUGUUGAGACAUCAUCAAUAAGCUAAUGGAUCUCAAUGAUUCUCAAUGGAUCCAAGACAAGUUAGUGGGAGCAAUAUGCAUUCAAAUCAAGAAAAUUUAAUUGUUAUUUUUGAAUGAAUGCUAAGUUACAACAAGGCCAGUGGGAGUGAUGUCAUAAUUUGAGCAACAAGAUGUGAAUAAAGUCUAUUUGAUAGACUUGAUGAAGCAUAGAUGUUACUCGAAAAAUGACAAAACAUGACACGGUCAAUUUUGAAGUAUAGACUUGAAAUUGGACUUACUGAUAUAGCAAGG
rnacentral:lncRNA from 1 species